GACGCUUAAAAGCCAUAACCUGCCAAUGUCCAGCACCUGUGGCUUCAGUAAGAGCAUGACCCAGGCUGUUCUCUCCACCUCACUGCACAGAGAAAACACCCCAGAGUAUCCUGUUCAGAGCCACUUCCUUACCCCACAUCCCAGUGGAUGCAGCUUCUGAAAGGAAGCAGAGUCGGCAAGGAUGGAGUGCUUUUGGGAAUCAUUCCCAGCAUAUGGAGACUGCAGUCUGCAGCAAGCAAGGGCAGCUCCCUCAGCAAGUGGAAAAUGGGCUUCACCUCCCUGCGGUCUCCCUGUGGUUUGCUUCCCUUGCGAUAUUAUUUUUGAAUAGGAGGCAGGAGCUUGGUGUCUCUUGCUCUGUUUAGUACAUCCAAUAACCAAACCUGGCCCACUUCUGGGUGGUCCUCAUGAAAUACCAGAAAACCACACAAAGGCCAUGUGAUUUAAUAGUCCUAAGAAACUGAGAAAUUGCUUUGACAGAUACCUCAAAAUCAGUUUUUCAAGAAAUGUGAUGUUUCAACCAAUGUGUCCAUUCCAUUUGUGUUUUUUUCCCUAUUUCUUUUUCUGUGCCCUUUGUUCUUCAUUCUGAUAAACCAGCCUGGAAAAUGUAGAUCACUGAUGCGUUGAUGCUUGACUUGGUCUUAGGCUGGGGAAAGCUACACAAAAUGCCUUCCAGGUUAAAGAAUUCAGUUCCCAGUCACUAGGCAGACUGGAUCACUUCAGGAUCAAGAGGAAGGAGGGAUACAAAGAGCCAGCCAUGAAAGCACAGACAUAAGCAUGAUUUCCUUUCUGUUUCCUGUGUACUUUGUGGCUAGAGCUAGCACUGAUUCCACUGCCUGCAUGUUCCUGGGCAGCUCACGCGCCCUCUCUGCCAGCAGACUGCCCUGGCAUCAACAGCUGCAAUCCCAACUCAGAGUCCAGCCCUUAAUUCCCUGGCCAUGCUCACUGCUCUUCUGUCCCAGUUCCCACAUCUUCCUG
rnacentral:lncRNA from 1 species